AUUGGAUGUCACUGAUCUAACGUGUGACCUUAGGAAAUCAGUUGGUUUUUGUCCCAAGAUCUUACAUUUUCAUGGUCAAAAAGAAUGGGGCUUGUCAAACACCGAGAGCCAAACGUCUGGGAUUCUGGGACUCCGCUUUGCAGUUACUAUUAUGAUUCAGCCAAUUGGAAAUAACUCAAAAUUUCUAAUUUCCUUGCUCAGAGUUGCCAGUUCAGCUAGGAAAGGUCAGAAAUCAUCAACUCCUCCAAGUGUCCAUGCUCCUGGAAGGCCACGUACUAAGUGCUCAAGUGCCUGUGCUGGUUAGGAAGAAAGGGAACAGAGGCGCCAUCACUCAUGGUCAGCAGUGACCUGACAACCGGGGCCUGCACGUCCCUUCAAAUACCAACACACUCGUCACCAAGGCCAAGGCAGCCAAGGGACUCAGCCGAGUUCACUGGGACCUGCUGGUCUGAGUAGCCCCUGGCAAACACAGGGAAGGAUGGGACCUUUCGUUUUGGACCUUAAGGCAGCCACAUGCUGCGUGGUCGUCUCCCUGUGGACGCUUGAUAUUUAGGCAGCUCCUCACACCCCUCGCCACCCUUCGGCUCAGCACCCCUGGCUUCUGGUCUUGACCCCUCCCCAGCUCCCAGGAGCCUCUGCUCCUUCCCACUCCAAUCUCCCCGUCCAGCUUCGCCUUGGUCUGGUCAUGGUAUCUUUGAUUGACAGAUAUUUUUUUAAUUACUUAAAGGGUUCUAGUUUUUCUUUUAUGGCUAAUUUUUCAUCCCCACUUGCUGCAAUAAUCUGAGGAAGGGAUCCAACUUAUGUUCCAUACGGAAGCCAAAUUUCCCAGCACGUUAGUAAUCAAUCCUUUCCUUAGAGUUAGUCAACUUUCUCUGCUGAGUGAAACGUGACCUUAGACAUCUUUGCU
rnacentral:lncRNA from 1 species